UACGGAGGGUGCGAGCGUUGUCCGGAUUUAUUGGGCGUAAAGCGAGCGCAGGUGGUUUAAUAAGUCUGAUGUAAAAGGCAGUGGCUCAACCAUUGUGUGCAUUGGAAACUGUUAGACUUGAGUGCAGUAGAGGAGAGUGGAAUUCCAUGUGUAGCGGUGAAAUGCGUAGAUAUAUGGAGGAACACCGGUGGCGAAAGCGGCUCUCUGGACUGUAACUGACACUGAGGCUCGAAAGCGUGGGUAGCAAACAGG
rnacentral:rRNA from 1 species